CCCUAUUCACCAGUACUACAAGUUUUAAAUAAUCGUUAGAAUAGGAAAUGAUUUUUUAUGGAUUCACCCAUCAUAUAUUUACCAAGAAUAUGCAGAAGGGUUCCAUGAUUUCUUUGUCCUCCUCUUUUUUUGAUUUAUCAAACCUUUCUCGGAAGGGGUGGACUAACUGUAAAUGGUGUUGGCUGAUUAAAAUCUAAUUUUCUUCCCUCUGUCUUGUCAUCAAUUAUAACCUCUGACUCUGUGCCUUUCUAUAAGCCUUACCCAAGGCUUGCUCGAUUGGGAUUUUCUAAUAGCUCUUUGCCAUUUCAUUGUGUGACAACACUCACAUUUGGCCUUUAAUUUACCUCUGUUUGAUAAGGUAGUUUGCCUUGGGAUUUCAGCUUACUCAUGGAUGUUGCCAGUUGGCUCACUUGGGUUUUCAAAUUUUGAAUGACUGCUCUUGUCUCCUAUUAGAACUGUUGAGUGUUAGUAGCAAGAGAUUUCAUUAUUUUUUUCAGGGACAAACCUUGUUUCGGAGGUGUUGGUUGUUAUUGUAGAGGUAGCCUUGGUUGAUACUAUUUGAAGUUAUGUUGUAUUCAUCCAUAACUAAAGUUCAGGUGAUCCCUCUAUCCCAGGUUGCAUGUCUUAGAGAAAGGAUCGUACCUUCUUUGCGGCUAGUUUGGGAAUCCUCCUACAGUAUUGACAUAUUGUUGGUCAUUUUAUAGUGUAGGACACAUGUCCAUAGGAUGUCCAAAAUGUAACAAAUUCUAACUCGUUGAGUGUUUCCUGUAAUAAUGUUUUGUAUUAAACUGGUUAACUAUGAAAUGUAAGAUUCAAGAGAAGACAUACUUACCUCAUUCAUCCUUCUUGGGGUGUCCGGAGUGGUUCCAAAUUUAUGUAAGGUGGUCGCCAUGAUUGCUAUUGAUUUUCUGGCUUCUAGUGGUGUUUUGUUCACUAUGGC
rnacentral:lncRNA from 1 species